rnacentral:rRNA from 1 species
UACGAAGGGGGCUAGCGUUGCUCGGAAUGACUGGGCGUAAAGGGCGCGUAGGCGGCUUGCACCGUCAGAUGUGAAAUUCCUGGGCUUAACCUGGGGGCUGCAUUUGAUACGUGUGGGCUUGAGUGCGGAAGAGGGUCGUGGAAUUCCCAGUGUAGAGGUGAAAUUCGUAGAUAUCUGGAGGAAUACCGGUGGCGAAGGCGGCAUCCUGGACCAUUACUGACGCUGAGGCGCGAAAGCUAGGGGAGCAAACAGGG